UGAAGAACGAACACGAAGAAAAAGAAGAUGAGUGUGGAUUCCGUCCCUUUGAACUCUCAUGGCCACAUUGAUGAGUAGAUUUCUCAGCUUAUGCAGUGCAAGCCUUUGUCCAAGCAAG